AGUGAACGCUGGCGGCGUGCCUAAUACAUGCAAGUCGAACGAAGUGGCGCACGGGUGAGUAAUAUAUAGUUAAUCUGCCCUAAACAGAGGAACAAAAGUUGGAAACGACUGCUAAUAUCCCAUAGUGUAGGAUGAGACUAUAUCGUAUCAGCUAGUUGGUAAGGUAAUGGCUUACCAAGGCUAUGACGCGUAACUGGUCUGAGAGGAUGAGCAGUCAAAUUGGAACGGAGACAGCGUCCAGACAUCUACCGGAGGGAGCAGUAAGCAAUAGUGGGCAAUGGGGGAAACCCUUAAGGGGCAACGCAGCGUGAAAGAUGACAAUUAUCGGAGCGCAAACGUGUUUGUUCAGGAAAGCGGUACCUGAUGAAUAAGCACCGGCUAACUCCGUGCCAGCAGCCGCGGUAAUUC
rnacentral:rRNA from 1 species